CAUGCAUGGGUUUUUGUUUGGUGGCCCAACCGUGGACAUACAAAAAAAUUGGUGGCGCAUCGAAACUGCCCAAAGAUUUUCCAUGGCCCAUCCCAAAUCACUCCAGCCCACCCUAGCAGUUACUUUAUGACCGGUCCCUUAUACGAAAAUACAAUGAGCUCAAUCACCGUGAGCGUGCACAAAUUAACAUAAACUCCGAGAAAAACAUAAUACAAUGACUUCUGUUUAG